rnacentral:rRNA from 1 species
CCUACGGGUGGCAGCAGUGGGGAAUAUUGCACAAUGGGGUAAACCCUGAUGCAGCGACGCCGCGUGAGUGAAGAAGUAUUUCGGUAUGUAAAGCUCUAUCAGCAGGGAAGAAAUAGCGACCUUUGGGUCGCCAGACGGUACCUGAUUAAGAAGCCCCGGCUAACUACGUGCAAGCAGCCAAGGUAAUACGUAGGAGGAAAGCGUUAUCCGGAUUUACUGGGAGGAAAGGGAGCGUAGACGGCAGGGCAAGUCUGAAGUGAAAUGCCGGGGCUUAACCCCGGAACUGCUUUGGAAACUGUAUGGCUGGAGUGCUGGAGAGGUAAGCGGAAUUCCUAGUGUAGCGGUGAAAUGCGUAGAUAUUAGGAGGAACACCAGUGGCGAAGGCGGCUUACUGGACAGUAACUGACGUUGAGGCUCGAAAGCGUGGGGAGCAAACAGGAUUAGAUACCCGAGUAGUC